rnacentral:rRNA from 1 species
AGGGCACCACCAGGAGUGGAGCCUGCGGCUUAAUUUGACUCAACACGGGAAAACUCACCCGGCCCGGACACUGGAAGGAUUGACAGAUUGAGAGCUCUUUCUUGAUUCAGUGGGUGGUGGUGCAUGGCCGUUCUUAGUUGGUGGAGUGAUUUGUCUGGUUAAUUCCGAUAACGAACGAGACUCUAGCCUACUAAAUAGAUCGUCGGCUUACAAACGCCGGCGAGACUUCUUAGAGGGACAGGCGGUGAUUCAACCGCACGAAACAGAGCAAUAACAGGUCUGUGAUGCCCUUAGAUGUCCGGGGCCGCACGCGCGCUACGCUGAAGUGAUCAGCGUGCUUUUUCAACCUACUCUGUCAAGAGUGGGGAACCCAAUGAACCUUCUUCGUGAUUGGGAUAGGGGAUUGUAAUUAUUCCCCUUGAACGAGGAAUUCCCAGUAAGCGCGAGUCAUAAGCUCGCGUUGAUUACGUCCCUGCCCUUUGUACACACCGCCCGUCGCUACUACCGAUUGAAUGUUUU